AUAUUGGACAAUGGGGGUAACCCUGAUCCAGCCAUGCGGCGUGUGUGUAGACGGUCUUCGGAUGGUAAAGCACUGUAAUUUGGGAGGAUGGGCUUUAGGCUAAUACCCUGAAGUUUUGACGUUACCAACAGAAUAAGAACCGGCUAAUUCUGUGCCAGCAGCCGCGGUAAUACAGAGGGUGCAAGCGUUAAUCGGAAUUACUGGGCGUAAAGCGCGCGUAGGUGGUUCAGUAAGAUGGGUGUGAAAUCCCCGGGCUUAACCUGGGAACUGCUUUCAUAACUGCUGAGCUAGAGUACGGUAGAGGGUAGUGGAAUUUCCUGUGUAGCGGUGAAAUGCGUAGAUAUAGGAAGGAACACCAGUGGCGAAGGCGACUACCUGGACUGAUACUGACACUGAGGUGCGAAAGCGUGGGGAGCAAAC
rnacentral:rRNA from 1 species